UAUAAUUGACCGUUCCGAUGAGUUCACACAACACAAUUUCUUAAUCAAUCUCCAAGCUUUCUUGCUGCGUGAUACCAACCCCCACAACGUAUAUGAAAUGCCAAGAACCGACAAGCGAUAACCGACAUCGAUUAUUGGGAAGAUGAAGGAAAAUACAAUAAAGUUGAUUUGACCAACGUUGAUUUAGAAGGAUCGUCUGUCAUGCUUUUGACUAUGGAUUACAAAAUGAGGGCGGUGGUGGUGAUGUGGUGCUCCCCAAAAACGGAUGGCAGUGAUGGCGGUGAUUACGGAAAAACGAUAAAACUUCACGUCGUUUAACUCCUAUAGCUUACGUGGAUAAAACAAUACAAAUGUCAACU
rnacentral:lncRNA from 1 species